GCCGUUAGUUGCCAGCGGUUCGGCCGGGCACUCUAACGGGACUGCCCGCGAAAGCGGGAGGAAGGAGGGGACGACGUCUGGUCAGCAUGGCCCUUACGCCUGGGCGACACACGUGCUACAAUGCCCACUACAAAGCGAGGCCACCCGGCAACGGGGAGCUAAUCGACAAAAAGGUGGGCCCAGUUCGGAUUGGGGUCUGCAACCCGACCCCAUGAAGCCGGAAUCGCUAGUAAUCGCGGAUCAGCCAUGCCGCGGUGAAUACGUUCCCGGGCCUU
rnacentral:rRNA from 1 species